AGAGAAGGUAGCUGAAAAAAAAAAUAAUUGAUGAAAAUGAAUAAAUAACUAAAUCAAUUUAGCUAAUCAUCAUAAGUUCCACAAUAUGACUAAUAAAAAUAUUGACAAAGUCAUGAUUCCGCAAUGAUCUAAGCAAUUUCAUUACAAACAGCCAAAAAAAAUCAUCAAUUCAGGCAGCUUUUUAAUGAAUCAAUGUGAAGAGAUUAAAAAAAAUAAAAAUAAAAAUAAUUGAGACUAGAAGAGAAACAAAUUCUUGUAUUACAG
rnacentral:misc_RNA from 1 species